CCUCUUUAGGCCACGGAGCCGCGCAGAUCCGGUUCCCGGGUGACCACUCUGUCGCCAUUGGGCGAGACCGACCUAGUCCUGACGACAACGGACAAAGGCCUUCAGGGGCCUGGAAGGGAUAUGAUAUUGAAGCACGUGACAAGUUGGUGAUUUCAGCAAUGGUUUCUCCUGUCUAUAGAAACUCUUCAGCAGAUGGCAAUUUUCCACCUUCCUGUAUAAAACCAGAAUCCUCUCACCUGGCAGAAAUCUUUCUCUCCAGAUGCUGCAAAGCCAGCACAGAUCAUCUUCUCUGUGAUCCCUCCUGGAUGGGCAGAAUAAAAGAAGAGGGGCUGAAGCGGAUGCUGCUUGAUAUCAUUUACAUGACCUAUUUUCAAAAAUAACAACUGGCAUUAAUGUUUAUGCAACAAAAAUAUGCUUACCUGCACUGAUGCUUCCCCAUCCGGUCACAGCACAGAUCUCCGAGGAAAAUAGAGGCUCUGCGCUGUGUGGGAGACAUACUGGCCUCACCACCGAGUUGUACUCCAGAGGAGAGCUUAGUUGUAUUAGGGCAAUGUCAGAGUCAUAACUUAGUGUGUUAAAGUCUUCAUGCACUAUUAUGUGUUUGGCCCUUCUCACCUGUAUCGGUGGCAAGUAAGCAAAUUACAACGUAAGAAA
rnacentral:lncRNA from 1 species